GACGUAGGGCGCGAGCGUUGUCCGGAUUUAUUGGGCGUAAAGAGCUCGUAGGCGGCUUGUCGCGUCGACUGUGAAAAUCCCGCGGCUCAACCGCGGGUCUGCAGUCGAUACGGGCAGGCUAGAGUUCGGUAGGGGAGACUGGAAUUCCUGGUGUAGCGGUGAAAUGCGCAGAUAUCAGGAGGAACACCGAUGGCGAAGGCAGGUCUCUGGGCCGAUACUGACGCUGAGGAGCGAAAGCGUGGGGAGCGAACAGG
rnacentral:rRNA from 1 species